AACCCAUGGUGAUGGCACCUUCUCAAAAGGUCCCUAAAUCUCUCCCAUGCAUCGUAGAGUGUUUCUAAAUCCAUCUUCACAAAGGAAGAGAUAUCAUUAUGUAAUU
rfam:Gossypium arboreum cultivar AKA8401 contig_692_1, whole genome shotgun sequence.